rnacentral:rRNA from 1 species
AGAGUUUGAUCCUGGCUCAGGAUGAACGCUGGCGGCGUGCUUAAUACAUGCAAGUCGAACGGGGAGUUGUAUUUCGGUAUAACUUCCAGUGGCGAACGGGUGAGUAACGCGUUGGUGACCUGCCCCAAAGAGAGGGAUAACAGUUCGAAAGGACUGCUAAUACCACAUGUGGUCUAGGGAGUUAGAGAGCCCUAGAGUAAAGGAUACUUCGGUAUUCGCUUUGGGAGGGGCCUGCGUUCCAUCAGCUAGUUGGUAGGGUAAAGGCCUACCAAGGCUACGACGGAUAGGGGGCCUGAGAGGGUGGCCCCCCACACUGGCACUGAAACACGGGCCAGACACCUACGGGUGGCAGCAGUAGGGAAUAUUGCACAAUGGGCGAAAGCCUGAUGCAGCAACGCCGCGUGCGCGAUGAAGGCCUUCGGGUCGUAAAGCGCUUUUCGGGGAGAUGAGAAAGGACAGUAUCCCCGGAAUAAGUCUCGGCUAACUACGUGCCAGCAGCCGCGGUAAAACGUAGGAGGCAAGCGUUAUCCGAAUUUACUGGGCGUAAAGCGCGUGCAGGCGGUUCGAUAAGUUGGAUGUAAAAACUCCUGGCUCAACUGGGAGAGGUCGUUCAAAACUAUCGAGACUAGAGGACGGUAGAGGGGGGUGGAAUUCCCGGUGUAGUGGUGAAAUGCGUAGAUAUCGGGAGGAACACCUGUGGCGAAAGCGGCCCCCUGGGCCGUUCCUGACGCUCAGACGCGAAAGCUAGGGUAGCGAACGGGAUUAGAAACCCCGGUAGUCCUAGCCGUAAACGAUGUGAACUUGGUGUUGGUGGGGUAAAAGCCAUCGGUGCCGAAGCAAACGCGAUAAGUUCACCGCCUGGGGACUACGGCCGCAAGGUUAAAACUCAAAGGAAUUGACGGGGGCCCGCACAAGCAGCGGAGCGUGUGGUUUAAUUCGAUGUUACGCGAAAAACCUUACCCGGGCUUGACAUGCAGGUAGUAGGGUACCGAGAGGGGACCGACUCUUCGGAGAGCCUGCACAGGUGCUGCAUGGCUGUCGUCAGCUCGUGCCGUGAGGUGUCCGGUUAAGUCCGGUAACGAGCGCAACCCUCGCCAUAUGUUACAAGUGUCAUAUGGGACUGCCGAUAUAAAGUCGGAGGAAGGUGGGGAUGACGUCAAGUCAGCAUGGCCUUUAUGUCCGGGGCUACACACACGCUACAAUGGCCGGUACAAUAGGUAGCAAGACCGCGAGGUGGAGCCAAUCCUAAAAGCCGGUCUCAGUUCAGAUUGCAGGCUGCAACUCGCCUGCAUGUAGUCGGAGUUGCUAGUAACCGCGCGUCAGCAAUAGUGCGGUGAAUACGUUCCCGGGCCUUGUACACACCGCCCGUCACGUCAUGGGAGCUGGCAACACCUGAAGCCGGUAUCCUAACCCGUAAGGGGAGGAGCUGUCGAAGGUGGGGCUGGUGACUGGGACGAAGUCGUAACAAGGUA